rnacentral:rRNA from 1 species
GAUGAACGCUGGCGGCGUGCCUAAUACAUGCAAGUCGAGCGAACAGACGAGGCGCUUGCUCCUUUGACGUUAGCGGCGGACGGGUGAGUAACACGUGGAUAACCUACCUAUAAGACUGGGAUAAUUUCGGGAAACCGGAGCUAAUACCGGAUAAUAUAUUGAACCGCAUGGUUCAAUAGUUAAAGACGGCUUUGCUGUCUCUUAUAGCUGGAUCCGCGCCGCAUUAGCUAGUUGGUAAGGUAACGGCUUACCAAGGCAACGAUGCGUAGCCGACCUGUGAGGGUGAUCGGCCACACUGGAACGGAGACACGGUCCAGACUCCUACGGGAGGCAGCAGUAGGGAAUCUUCCGCAAUGGGCGAAAGCCUGACGGAGCAACGCCGCGUGAGUGAUGAAGGUCUUCGGAUCGUAAAACUCUGUUAUGAGGGAAGAACAAAUGUGUAAGUAACUAUGCACGUCUUGACGGUACCUAAUCAGAAAGCCACGGCUAACUACGUG